rnacentral:rRNA from 1 species
UACGGAGGGGGCUAGCGUUGUUCGGAAUUACUGGGCGUAAAGCGCACGUAGGCGGCUUUGUAAGUUAGAGGUGAAAGCCCGGAGCUCAACUCCGGAAUUGCCUUUAAGACUGCAUCGCUAGAAUUGUGGAGAGGUGAGUGGAAUUCCGAGUGUAGAGGUGAAAUUCGUAGAUAUUCGGAAGAACACCAGUGGCGAAGGCGACUCACUGGACAGAUAUUGACGCUGAGGUGCGAAAGCGUGGGGAGCAAACAGG